AACACGUGGGAACGUGCCUUUAGGUUCGGAAUAGCUCCUGGAAACGGGUGGUAAUGCCGAAUGUGCCCUUCGGGGGAAAGAUUUAUCGCCUUUAGAGCGGCCCGCGUCUGAUUAGCUAGUUGGUGGGGUAAUGGCCCACCAAGGCUACGAUCAGUAGCUGGUCUGAGAGGAUGACCAGCCACAUUGGGACUGAGACACGGCCCAAACUCCUACGGGAGGCAGCAGUGGGGAAUCUUGCGCAAUGGGCGAAAGCCUGACGCAGCCAUGCCGCGUGUAUGAUGAAGGUCUUAGGAUUGUAAAAUACUUUCACCGGUGAAGAUAAUGACUGUAGCCGGAGAAGAAGCCCCGGCUAACUUCGUGCCAGCAGCCGCGGUAAUACGAAGGGGGCUAGCGUUGCUCGGAAUUACUGGGCGUAAAGGGAGCGUAGGCGGACAUUUAAGUCAGAGGUGAAAUCCCGGAGCUUAACUUCGGAACUGCCUUUGAUACUGGGUGUCUUGAGUGUGAGAGAGGUAUGUGGAACUCCGAGUGUAGAGGUGAAAUUCGUAGAUAUUCGGAAG
rnacentral:rRNA from 1 species